rnacentral:rRNA from 1 species
GACGAACGCUGGCGGCGUGCUUAACACAUGCAAGUCGAACGAAGUGGCGAACGGGUGAGUAAUGCGUAAUCAACCUGCCCUUCAGAGGGGGAAAACAGUUGGAAACGACUGCUAAUCCCGCAUACUGAAGGAGGGGAUUGCGUGUGAUUAGCUAGUUGGGGGGGUAACGGCCCACCAAGGCGAUGAUCAGUAGCCGGUCUGGGGGGGUGAACGGCCACAAUGGGAAUGGGAAACGGCCCAGACUCCUACGGGAGGCAGGCGGGGGGGAUCUUCCGAAAAUGGCGAAAGUCUGACGAAGCAACUGCGGGUGAGGGAUGACAGCCUUCGGGUUGUAAAGGUCUGUUAAUCGGGGCGCGGUACCGGAAUAGAAAGCCACGGCUAACUACGUGCCAGCAGCCGCGGUAAUUC